AGAGUUUGAUCCUGGCUCAGAAUCAACGCUGGCGGCGUGCCUAACACAUGCAAGUCGAACGCGAAGAUCCCGCAAGGGAUUUGUAGCGUGGCAAACGGGUGAGUAACGCGUGGGCGACCUACCCUCGAGUGGGGGAUAACCUUCCGAAAGGAGGGCUAAUACCGCAUGACAUCCCGUGUUUGGAUACACGGAGAUCAAAG
rnacentral:rRNA from 1 species